rnacentral:rRNA from 1 species
AUACGGAGGGUGCAAGCGUUAUCCGGAUUUAUUGGGUUUAAAGGGUGCGCAGGCGGCGAUGUAAGUCAGUGGUGAAAGGCUGCCGCUUAACGGUAGGACUGCCAUUGAUACUGCAUUGCUUGAGUAUGGUUGAGGUAAGCGGAAUGUGUGGUGUAGCGGUGAAAUGCAUAGAUAUCACACAGAACACCGAUUGCGAAGGCAGCUUACUAAGCCAUUACUGACGCUGAGGCACGAAAGCGUGGGUAGCGAACAGGAUUAGAAACCCUAGUAGUCC